GAGUUUGAUCCUGGCUCAGGACGAACGCUGGCGGCGUGCUUAACACAUGCAAGUCGAACGGAACUCAAGGAGCUUGCUCCUGAAGGUUCAGUGGCGAACGGGUGCGUAACACGUGAGAAACCUGUCCCGAACUUGGGAAUAACAGCCGGAAACGGCUGCUAAUACCGAAUAUCUUCGUAACGUCGCAUGGCGUAUCGAAGAAAGCUUUAUGCGGUUUGGGAGGGUCUCGCGGCCUAUCAGCUAGUUGGUGAGGUAAUGGCUCACCAAGGCAUCGACGGGUAGCUGGUCUGAGAGGAUGAUCAGCCACACUGGGACUGAGACACGGCCCAGACUCCUACGGGAGGCAGCAGUGGGGAAUAUUGCACAAUGGGCGAAAGCCUGAUGCAGCAACGCCGCGUGCGGGAAGAAGGCCCUAGGGUUGUAAACCGCUUUCAGUAGGGAAGAAAAUGACGGUACCUACAGAAGAAGGUGCGGCCAACUACGUGCCAGCAGCCGCGGUGACACGUAGGCACCAAGCGUUGUCCGGAUUUAUUGGGCGUAAAGAGCUCGUAGGCGGUUUGGUAAGUCGGGUGUGAAAACUCUGGGCUCAACCCAG
rnacentral:rRNA from 1 species